UCCACCUCCCUCCUCAGCGUGGCGGUGCUCUGCGCCUCAGGAAUCACGACCGCCGCCCCCCGCCCCCUGCCUCUCCCUGGCCGUCCAUCCCAGCGCGACCGGCCUCUGCGACCAGCAUCCCGAGUCCAGCACUCCAGAUCCCUCCCCAGCAUGACCGGCCUCAGCGAGACAGCGUCCAGCAUCGUCUAGACGGCGACAGGCCUCGGCGACCAGCACGGCAGCACAUCGGCGACCGGCAGACCGCAAGAUACCCAAGGAGUAAACCUUUAAUGGAAGGGGGCAAGGGCAACCAUGGGAAGGGCAGGGGCGGGAGUGUUAGUGUCCCACGGAGAAGUUUGCGUGGUCGGCAACCAGCAGUGGAGGUUCCGUGCACCGGCGAGCAACAGGAUGUCGACCGCAGCACCAUCAGCACUGAAAACGCUCUCGAAAGCAGUGUUGCUCCUACAGUGGAUGUCUCAGGCGUGGCUGGAGCUGUUGUGGUCGCAAGUUCAACUCCAUAAGAGGGUACCAGUACAGCAGUGGAGCAACCAAAACUGACCGGCUCUAGAAGGAAGCGUACAUCAGAUGUAUGGGAUGAUUUUAAGUCAGAACUACUCAAUGGGAAAUGGCAGGCAAUAUGCAACUGGUGUCAUAAGGCAUAUGCUGGAGAAUCAACCUCUGGUACAUCACACUUAAGGACUCAUCGUAAUAAUUGUCCACCUCGGCAUGCACCAGUGGGUCCACAACAAAGUAAAUUAAAGUUGUCAAAAAGUGGGGAUGGGAAAGUAAAUUUGGAGACCUAUGUUUUUGAUCAAGAACUUGCUAGAAAGGAACUUGCAUUGAUGAUAUGUGUGCAUGAGUACCCUCUGUCUAUUGUUGAUCAUGCUGGAUUCCGAAAAUUUUGUGGUACGUUGCAACCAAUGUUCAAGGUGGUGUCUAGAAAUACCAUUAGGCAGGACAUCAUAAAUAUGUUUGGUGUCCAAAAGAAUAGCAUGGUGAAGUACUUUGCAAAGUUUGAGAACCGAGUAGCCAUCACAACAGAUUUGUGGACGGUUGUCCAUCAAAAGAGGGGCUAUAUGGCUGUAACUGCACAUUAUAUUGACGCUUCUUGGAACCUAAAGAGCUUCCUAAUGAGGUUUGUUUAUGCUCCAUGUCCACACAAUGCUGAGGUUAUAUGCGAAGCACUACAUGCAUGUCUUGUUGAGUGGCACCUUGAGAAGAAGAUAUCCACGGUGACCUUGGACAAUUGUACAUCAAAUGACAAGGCUAUGGAAAUUCUGCCAGAUAAGUUGGACACCUCUUCUCUUAUGUUGCAAGGAUCUUUGUUGCAUAUGCGUUGUGCUGCUCAUAUAUUAAAUCUGAUUGUAAAAGAUGGAU